rnacentral:misc_RNA from 1 species
GUGAAUCAUCGAAUUUUUGAACGCAUAUUGCACUCUCUGGUAUGCCGGAGAGUAUGUCUGUGUGAGGGUAAUUAAAAAGAAUCUUUAACCAAUUACUUUGUUCCAAGCGAAUGAGUUCUCCGCGUCUAUAGCGGUAGCUUGAAAUAAAUGGUCAAGUCUCAUUUUAGUCGAGACGCGUAAUAUUAUUAUUUCUCGACUUCUUUAUUAUGUGACUAUCAAGUUUUGAUGCAUACACUUUGCUUUGUAUGCGAUCAAUACAAAUAUUUUGAACAUUACCUCAAAUCGGGUAGGCG